CUGAUUUGUGGUAACUCCAAAGUUUUGAAUGCCUCCCUAGCUGUAGCAGCAAUACUGGUUUCUAUCAAGGGAAGGGUAACCCCUGGCACGGCAACAGUGAAAUGGAGAAAGGUGAAAAUGCCCAGAAGCUGGCAGCUUCUGAAGAGAAACAAAGAGGCCAAGCAUCAGCCCACCCACAGCAGCAACAUCGGUAUGUUGGCCCAUAUGUCUUGGUAACUCCAAAUGAAACCAGAAGAAAACAGUUGCAACAAAUUGCUAAGAAAGAGCUUGAUGACCUGGAGCAAUGGAAGAAAGAACACAGGCCAGGGCCAAUUAUGUUGGUGCCACAGAGACUGGGUAAGACAUGUAAAUCAGCAAUUGAGAAAUGCAGAAUUUAAUUUUCCAAGACAUGAGACAUUUUUCACUUUUUCUCACUACUUAUUAUAAAGAAAUUCAGUGUCAAUAAAGGCUGACAUGAGCCCA
rnacentral:lncRNA from 1 species